rnacentral:rRNA from 1 species
UAAUACGGAGGGUGCAAGCGUUAUCCGGAAUCAUUGGGUUUAAAGGGUCCGCAGGCGGACUUAUAAGUCAGUGGUGAAAGCCCAUCGCUUAACGAUGGAACUGCCAUUGACACUGUAAGUCUUGAAUUCGGUCGAAGUGGGCGGAAUGUGACAUGUAGCGGUGAAAUGCUUAGAUAUGUCACAGAACACCGAUAGCGAAGGCAGCUCACUAGGCCUGGAUUGACGCUCAUGGACGAAAGCGUGGGAGCAAACAGGAUUAGAUACCCUGGUAGUCCACGCCGUAAACUAUGAUUACUCGUUCUCGGCGAUAUACGGUCGGGGACUAAGCGAAAGUGAUAAGUAAUCCACCUGGGGAGUACGAUCGCAAGGUUGAAACUCAAAGGAAUUGACGGGGGCCCGCACAAGCGGUGGAGCAUGUGGUUUAAUUCGAUGAUACGCGAGGAACCUUACCAGGGCUUAAAUGUAGAUGGAAUGAUGUGGAAACAUGUCAGCCUUC